AUAGGGAACAUAUGUACUAAUUUCAAGUUGAUUGGACUUCAAUUUUAUCAAAAACUACCUUGACCAAAAACUUUAACCUGAAACUCCCACUUUCAUUUUCUAUGUUUAGUGGACCGUGAAAAUUGGGUCAAAAGUCUAAUUUGGCUUUAAAAUUAAAAAGAUCAUAUCAUAAGCAACAAGUGUACUAAGUUUCAAGUUGAUUGGACUUCAGCUUCAUCAAAAA
rnacentral:lncRNA from 1 species